CUACGGGACGCUGCAGUGGGGAAUAUUGGACAAUGGGGGAAACCCUGAUCCGGCAAUGCCGCGUGUGUGAAGAAGGCCUGCGGGUUGUAAAGCACUUUCGGUUGGGAGGACUGCUUCUAGCACUAAUAUUGUUGGAAGUUGACGUUACCUUCAGAAGAAGCACCGGCUAACUCCGUGCCAGCAGCCGCGGUAAUACGGAGGGUGCAAGCGUGAAUCGGAAUUACUGGGCGUAAAGCGCGCGUAGGCGGCUAGAUCAGUCGGGUGUGAAAGCCCCGGGCUUAACCUGGGAACUGCAUCCGAUACUGUCUAGCUUGAGUACAGGAGAGGAGAGUGGAAUUCCACAUGUAGCGGUGAAAUGCGUAGAUAUGUGGAGGAACACCAAUGGCGAAGGCAGCUCUCUGGCCUGAUACUGACGCUGAGGUGCGAAAGCGUGGGGAGCAAACAGGAUUAGAUACCCCAGUAGUC
rnacentral:rRNA from 1 species